CACACAGCGACCCCAUAGCCCCAUGCAGACCCCAUAGUCCCAUAUAGACCCCAUAGCCCCGCAUGGACUCCAUAGCCCCAUGCAGACCCCAUAGUCCCAUAUAGACCCCAUAGCCCCGCAUGGACUCCAUAGCCUCAUACAGACCCCAUAGUCCCAUGCAGACCCCAUAGCCCCAUACAGACCCCAUAGACCCGCAUGGACCCCAUAGCUCCAUGCAGACCCCAUAGUCCCAUACAGACCCCAUAGACCCACAUGGACCCCAUAGCUCCAUGCAGACCCCAUAGCCCCAUACAGACCCCAUAGCCCCAUGCAGACCCCAUAGCCCCAUACAGACCCCGUAGCCCCACAUGGACCCCAGGAUCCCAUAACCUCAAACAGACCCCAUAGCCCUGCACAGACCCCACAGCCCCAUAUGGAACAUGGGUUUCCAUAACCCUGCAUGGACUCGGGGAUCCCAUAACCACACACGGACCCCAUAGCCCUACACAGACCCCAUAGCCACACAUGCACCCCACAGCCCUACACAGACCCCAUAGCCCCACAUGGACCCCAUAACCCUGCACGGACACUCGGAUCCCAUAGCCCCACAUGGGCCCCAUAGCCCUGCACAGACCCCACAGCCCCACAUGGAACAUGGGACCCCAUAACCCUGAGUGGACCCUGGGAUCCCAUAGCCCUGCACAGAUCCCAUAACCACACACACACCCCACAGCCCCAAAUGGAACAUGGGAUCCCAUAACCCUGAGUGGACCCUGGGAUCCCAUAGCCCCACAUGGGCCCCACAGCCCUACACAGACCCCAUACCCUACACAGACCCCAUAGCCCCACACGGAACAUGGGAUCCCAUAACCCAGAGUGGACCCUGGGAUCCCAUAGCCCUACACAGACCCCAUAGCCCUGCACAGACCCCAUAGCCCUACACAGACCCCACAGCCCCACAUGGAACAUGGGACCCCAUAACGCUGAGUGGACCCUGGGAUCCCAUAGCCCCACAUGGGCCCCAUAGCCCCGCGCAGACCCCACAGCCCCACACGGCCACACAGCGGCUCUAUGGGGCCGUUCCCCCUCAGCCCCACCGCAGACCUAAAAUGGAGCGCAGCGCGGUGGCGUCGCCCCCAUAAGGUUCCGCUUUGGGAUCGGCACCCCGCCGCCGCCCCAUAGACGGCCCUACAGCCGCCUCUCCCGGGGGCGGGGGGGGAGCGGAGGAACCUUUGGCCGAGUUGGAGCGGAGCGGCGGUGGGGCGGCGGCCAACAGCGCUGAGCAGAACGGGGGGGGGAUGGGAGGGGGGUG
rnacentral:lncRNA from 1 species